UUAGGCCAUUGCUUCCUCUUAAGUCAUUACCUCUCAACUAAAGCUUCUUCUCUUCCUCUUUUUCUCACACUUUCAAGAGUGUGCAGAUUUGCAUUGCCACAUUAGAGAGGAGUUGGUGGCGCAAUUUUCCGACUAGCAAUGAGGCUUAACGGUGGCGACCCCCGCCGGGGUCGUCAUGUGCCACAAAUCUUAGUGGCAUUGGCCAUUUUGGCUGUUGCUAAUAUUGUUUCUGCUGACCCUUAUAUAUAUGCUUCUCCUCCACCACCAACUUACGAGUACAAGUCACCACCCCCUCCUUCUCCUUCUCCUUCUCCGCCACCGCCUUACGAAUACAAGUCUCCACCACCUCCGUCACCAUCUCCACCCCCACCUUAUGUGUAUAAAUCACCACCACCUCCAUCACCAUCUCCUCCUCCACCAUAUGUGUACAAGUCGCCACCACCUCCAUCACCAUCUCCACCACCACCAUAUGUGUAUAAAUCACCACCACCUCCUUCACCAUCACCUCCACCACCAUAUUACUACAAAUCCCCGCCACCACCUUCACCUUCGCCACCUCCACCUUAUUAUUACAAGUCUCCCCCACCACCUUCUCCAUCACCACCUCCACCAUACUAUUAUAAAUCACCACCACCCCCUUCACCCUCUCCCCCACCACCUUAUUACUACAAGUCCCCACCACCACCUGCUAAGUCACCUCCUCCACCAUACUACUACUCCUCCCCUCCUCCACCAGUUAAGUCACCUCCUCCACCUUACUACUACUCCUCUCCUCCACCACCAGUUAAGUCACCUCCUCCACCGUACUACUAUUCUUCCCCUCCACCACCAGUUAAGUCACCUCCACCACCGUACUACUACUCUUCCCCUCCACCACCAGUUAAGUCACCUCCUCCACCUUAUUACUACUCCUCUCCUCCACCACCAGUUAAGUCACCUCCUCCACCAUACUACUAUUCUUCCCCUCCACCACCAGUUAAGUCACCUCCACCACCAGUUAAGUCACCUCCUCCACCUUAUUACUACUCCUCUCCUCCACCACCAGUUAAGUCACCUCCUCCACCGUACUACUAUUCUUCCCCUCCACCACCAGUUAAGUCACCUCCUCCACCAUACUACUACACUUCACCACCACCCCCAACUCAUUACUAUGCUCCUCAUCAUUCCUUGAUCGUUAAGGUUGUUGGAAAAGUCUACUGCUACAGAUGCUAUGACUGGAAAUACCCAAAGAACUCCCACAACAAGAAGCACCUCAAAGGUGCUGUUGUUGAGGUCACAUGCAAAGUUGGUGACAAGAAAAUCAAGAGCUAUGGUACCACUAAAAUCAAUGGCAAGUUUGCUAUCACAGUCGAAGGAUUUGCCUAUGCCAAAUAUGGAGCAGAUGCAUGCAAGGCUAAACUCCACAAAGCACCAAAGGGUUCAAAAUGUGACAUUCCCACAAAUCUACACUGGGGCAUUAAAGGUGCUAGCCUCAAAGUGAAGUCAAAGAAUAAAUAUGAAGUUGUGCUCUAUGCAAAACCAUUUGCUUAUGCCUCCAAAACUCCUUAUGAAGAAUGCAUGAAGCCUAAGCCAACUCCUGCUCCUUACUAUUACAAAUCUCCACCUCCUCCAUCACCAAAGUAUAUAUACAAGUCACCACCUCCUCCAUCACCAAAGUACGUCUACAAGUCACCGCCUCCUCCAUCACCGAAAUACGUGUACAAGUCACCGCCUCCUCCAUCACCAAAGUACGUAUACAAGUCCCCGCCUCCUCCGUCACCAAAAUACGUGUACAAGUCACCGCCACCGCCAUCACCGAAAUAUGUGUACAAGUCACCACCUCCUCCAUCACCAAAAUAUGUGUACAAGUCACCACCUCCUCCAUCACCUAAAUACGUAUACAAGUCACCACCACCACCAUCACCAAAAUACGUCUACAAGUCACCGCCUCCUCCAUCACCAAAGUACGUGUACAAGUCACCGCCACCGCCAUCACCGAAAUAUGUGUACAAGUCACCACCUCCUCCAUCACCUAAAUACGUAUACAAGUCACCACCACCACCAUCACCAAAAUACGUGUACAAGUCGCCACCUCCCCCAUCACCGAAAUACGUAUACAAGUCGCCACCUCCUCCAUCACCAAAAUACGUAUACAAGUCCCCACCACCACCAGCUUACUAUUACAAGUCUCCUCCACCACCAUCACCAUCUCCACCUCCACCUUACUAUUACAAGUCUCCUCCGCCACCAGACCCAUCUCCUCCUCCACCAUACUAUUACAAGUCACCACCACCACCAUCACCAUACAAGUCACCACCACCACCAUCACCCUCACCACCACCUCCCUACUAUUACAAGUCUCCUCCACCACCAUCGCCGUCUCCUCCUCCACCAUACUAUUACAAGUCUCCACCACCACCAUCUCCAUCUCCUCCACCACCAUAUUACUACAAGUCCCCUCCCCCGCCAUCACCAUCACCUCCUCCACCAUACUAUUACAAAUCCCCGCCACCACCAUCCCCAUCACCUCCACCUCCCUAUUACUACAAGUCUCCACCACCACCAUCACCAUCACCCCCUCCGCCAUACUACUACAAAUCGCCACCACCCCCAUCACCAUCACCCCCACCUCCCUACUAUUACAAGUCUCCACCACCACCUAUGAAGUCUCCUCCUCCUCCAUACCACUACACUUCACCUCCCCCACCCGUAAAAUCACCUCCCCCUCCAUACCACUACACUUCACCUCCCCACCCGUAAAAUCACCUCCCCCUCCGUACCACUACACUUCACCUCCCCCACCCGUAAAAUCACCUCCCCCUCCGGUAUACAUUUAUGCUUCUCCGCCACCACCAGUCCACUACUAAGCAGUUUGAAAAGCUUGGCCAUUUUCCACAACCACGCAAAUUUCAGUUUAAAUCACAAAAUAAGUGAUGGCUUCUUGAGGGAAAGAUUCAGAGGCCCAUGGUCAAAAGCAAUUAAUUUAAUCAAUAAGAUCAUCAACUUUGCAAUUCAGAGGUUGAUUCCUAGCGACUUGGACCACUUUGCUUCUACUUCUCUGGUGGCCUUCUUACACAUUGUUCUCAUUGUGUCUUCACGUGGAAGUGGCUUCAACAGCUUAGUUUUUUAUUAGAAUAUUAAUUAUUUAGUUGAUCUUUCAAGUGUAUUUGAGUUUUCAUGUUUUUUGAUGUUGCUUCUUUAUAAUUUAUUAUUGUAAGUACUAUCUUUGUUUGAUUUGUUUUGUGUUAAUUAUUGUUGGCUGUCUCCUAGUGCCUGCUUGUGCUUUGUGCACCAAAUCAAUAAAGAGAUGAAUUUUGUUCACUUCA